GUGCAUGCUUCGGCAGCACAUAUACUAAAAUUGAAAUGAUACAGAGAAGGUAAGCAUGGCCCCUGUGCAAGAAUGAUAUGUAAAUUCAUGAAGCAUUCCAUAAAAAA